rnacentral:rRNA from 1 species
UACGUAGGGGGCUAGCGUUGUCCGGAUUUAUUGGGCGUAAAGAGCGUGUAGGCGGCCAGGUAGGUCCGGUGUGAAAACUCGAGGCUUAACCUCGAGAUGUCAUCGGAAACCAUCUGGCUAGAGUCCGGAAGAGGAAAGUGGAAUUCCUGGUGUAGCGGUGAAAUGCGCAGAUAUCAGGAAGAACACCAGUGGCGAAGGCGGCUCACUGGACCGGUACUGACGCUGAUGCGCGAAAGCGUGGGGAGCAAACGGG